CACCCUAUCGUCUAGUCAGCCAGGACAGCGGCCUUUCAAGCCGACAACGCGGGAGCGUAACCCGUUAGGGUGGCCA
rnacentral:tRNA from 1 species